rnacentral:lncRNA from 1 species
CGGUUUUCAUCACAGUUCCUUUUCAUGAUUCUGUAGCACUGGAAUGAUUAGUUUGUUCUUCAGUAACUUCUUCUUCAGUAUCAUAGUUAGUAAACAUAUGAGGUUUGGCAAGUUAGUAUUUACCAUUGAUGCUUGAAAUAAAUAGCAUGACUGGUGUUGCACCAUGUGUGUGUAGGUUUUUCCUUUUAGUUUACUUAUAUAUGCCUCUCCUAUAUUCUAAAACAAAUUCGAACUGUUAGUAUUUACCUUAAUCUCUUCCACAUGGAAGAUAGGAAAACUACAUACGGAAGGAUGAGUUCUAUAGCGUAUCAGAUUCAGGCAUUUGCACUAUUUUCUUGAUUACCUCACUAUGAUUAUUGUUGUAGACUUUUAGUAUAUUCCUCACAGGCGAACCCGUAUUUUCUUCAAAUCUAUAGCACACAUCUUUUUGCUAUAGUCAUUUCGCCAUGGAUGCAACAGUCUAGGAAAACAAGAUACCUGUAUGUUUUCAUUCAUUUGCCUUUUUAUGUGAGAAGUGUCUCCAUGGGAUUAGCGAGGUGUAUUUAUGCUUACCCCUUUUUAGUGUUUGGUGAAGCCGAUGGACUGUGAACAUUAUGUACCACAUAUUGUCGCCUUUUGCCUUUUUAUUACUUAUAAUAUGUCAUGACAAUUUAUUUUCCUGAGCCAUUUAGUCAAACUAGCCAGUCAAGGAUAGCCAAUGGUCUUUUGGCUAUUUGUUUGUUCAUUUCAUUCAACAUGCAUGUUUCUGGAGUAGUCUUGGCGCAAGACACAUAAUCAAAGUUGAUUUUCUUAUAAGCUGAUCAUCACAUAGCUAAUUGGUAGUUACACUAGUUGAGCUUGUCCUAUGCUCAUUGUACAGGAUAGAUAAAGUGUAUGUGAACUUCUUGAUGAGGAGAAGUCUUUUUAGAGAUUCCAAUACAAAUUACAUACGGAUGUAUAUAGACAUAUUUUAGAAUGUAGAUUCACCUAUUUUGUUCUGUAUGUAGUCCGCAUUGAAAUCUCUAAAAGGACUUAUAUUUAGGAACGGUGGGAGUGGGAUACGAUUAAGUAUUUAAAUUAACCAUAUGAGCACUAUUUCUUUGAGUCCCACAAGGAUGUCAUCUUUAUUCACAUGUUAUGUGUUAUGUCACAUCAACUUCUGCCCUUUUGUUUUCUGCAGAACACGACAACUGUUCAUCACCUAAAAGGAGAGAAUAACACCAAAGGAGUUAUGAUAGCAGCACUUAUAGGCAUCGAGGAAUUGGCAAAGAGAUUACGCUUCAUAGGUAUGAAGUUAGAACAACGGCUGGAAACUAUGAAAGGCCGUUUCUAAUUACCUUUGUUGGAUCUGUCUUACCUACAAUGCAUGUGUGACCCCUGGAGAAGCCACUUUUUGUUUCGUCUGCAGUAUACUCCAUGUUUAGUUCCAGUGAUGCCCUAACCCUUUUGUUCCUGCUCUGAAGAAUCAGACAUGUAUAGGCUUCAGAUUUUUGUAAUCAUCUAUGUGCUAAACAUCCCUUUGUGGUCAUGUGUUUUAUAUGUAAUCAAGUAUCUAUCCAUGAUGAUAUAUAUGCCCAGCUAAUGUUUGAAAAGAUCCAUCAUCUGUAUCACCACUGCUGGAUAACCGCUAUAAAUCUACUAGCAGUACCGGUCAUAUAAAAUAGCUACCGUUACUGAUCAUUUGUAUUACCACUGCUGGAUAACCAUUAUAAAUAUAUCAGCUAAUGUUUAUUUCAUUUAUUUGAUUUAACUUUUUAUUUUUUGAUUUGACAUCUUUUUUAGACAAAAUAAUUUAAUUUAGUUGUGCCAAUUCAAAUUUACACCAUGUUGUUGGGCUUAGAAAAAAGGUAAAUAAUAAAUUAAGUUUUGUUGUGUCGACAUGGGCACAAGACACGGUUGCUGACGCCUUGACCUUAUCAAUCCCCUUCUUCCCUCCGUGUACCAAACCUUCUCUCGCUCACCCUUUCUCUUCCAGACCAUCGUCGUUGUUCCUCAACUUCGAUUGCAAUAUCAACACGUCAGUUCCUUAGGUGGAUCCUCACUGAAUCAGACCGCUUAACAGGCGAACCUUUACCAACAUGGUAUUAUUUCAAUUUUGAGUUAGUGUUGUUCCUUAGAGACAUGGUCAAAGACUGAGAAAUUUUAGAUUUGCUUGCAUCUUGGUUUGCCCGUGACUGAAAUCAAUAUUUCUUCGUUGCUAACAAGAAAAGAUCAGUUGUCUCAUGCAGAUGCAUACCCUGUUGAUAUGUUACUGCUCAUUUCAGAAGUGUUUGAUUCAUCGUAGCUAAUUCAAGUUAACCUGGGUACAACAAUAGAUAGACAUUUAUUUAUGGACAACAAUAGUAGUGAGCAAGCAAUGUAAAAUGCAUUUAUGUUAGUUCGACGAAACUGACGGUACUUUGUUCUUGCUUCUAUAUCCUGAUUUGGCAAUUUUAUGAUCGGUCUCUAAAUAUUUCAACUUGCAUGGUUUGAAUUAGUUUCACAUGCUAAAGUAUAUAGUUUGAACAUAGGUAUUCCUUAGUGCUUGCUAAAACUCGAAGUUACUAACAAAUGCGAAGGUUUCUGUUACAAAAGGUUUAGAAUCAUUACCCUUGAUGCUUAAAUUUGGAGCACCUUACUUGGGUAACAUAGAGCCAAAUGGCAUAUUUCCCGAAUACAUGUUCAAAACACUUCGGGUUUGACAUGGUCUCUAUCUUUGAUCAAACAUAAAGUUACUAUAAAAGGCAAAUAUUUUUCAACAUGAACAUGGUUUUAAAUGGGUCUCUGUGCCAUUUGGCGCACCGGGUCAUCUAGUUUACAGAGAAAGCAAAGGCAGUGCAACUGGGGACAUCAGCGUGAAGUAAGAGCAACUCCAACGGGCCGACCCAAACGGACGGCGCUUUUGUCCGUUUUUUGUCCGUUUGGGUCGGCCAGGCGGACAUGGAUGUCCGUUUCCGCGUUUGGGUCGGCGCAUGCGCCCAACGCUGGCCCGACCCAUUUUGACGGCGCUAGAAAAAAAAUAACGCCUGCAUAUUAAAAAAGAAAAAUAGCAUUAAUUAAACAUAAAGUCAGCCACGAAGGCCGGCGAGAGUCCACGCAUCCACAUUUGCAUUUAAAAAUAAAUAAAAACAACCUAAACUACGAGGCAGCGCGCUGCCCUAGGCGUCGUCGUCGUCCUCGGGGUCCGUGAGGUCGAUGAGCGUCGGCGCCGGCCCGGCCCAAGAGAACGUUGUGUUCCAGAGCGCGGUCAUGUCGGACGCAGGCUGUGCCGGCGCGGGGGGCUGUGCGGCCGCCUAUGCAGCCGCGGCCUGGCGCGCCUCCUCCUCGGCCUCGCGCUGCUCCUCCUCGAGGUUGCGCUCGAGCAUCUCGAGGUACUCGCCGUCGCGACGCUUCUCGGCCACCCGGAUCUGGCGCUAGUGCUCGAGGUACGCCGGCGUCGCCCCCAUCCAGACCGGCGGCGCGCGUACCCACUCGCGCACUACUCCCGUCCAGGAGUAGCGCUCAAUGGGGGGCGGCUCCGGCUGCUUCUCCGGCUUGACGAGGCAUCAGAGAGGGGACGGCGGGGCCACCGGCGGCACCACGCAGUCGCCCGCUGCGGAGAAGACAAGUGCAUGCGCCAUUGCCGCCUCGUACCAAGCCUCCUCUUCCUCCGCCGCCUCCGCCCUGCGCCGCUCGUCCUCCUCGCUCUCCCGAUAGACGGCCGCAAGGGCCGCCUGGUCCUCCUCGCGGACGACGAGCGGCGGCGGCGGCUCGCUCCGGUCGACCUCGCGCACGCCCCGUCACCUCGUCUCCUCGUGCUCGAAGGCGAACCACCUCGCCCAGUUGGGCGAGUCGGAUGCGUAGGCGGGCUCGCGGCGCUGCUCCGGCGUCAGCAGCGCCCGCCGGCGCCACACCUCCUGUUGGGAAUCGUAGCAUAAUUUUAAAAUUUUCCUACGUUCACCAAGAUGCAUCUAUGGAGUAUAAUAGCAACGAGGGGAAGGGAGUGCAUCUACAUACCCUUGUAGAUCGCGAGCGGAAGCGUUCCAAUGAACGUGGAUGACGGAGUCGUACUCGCCGUGAUCCAAAUCACCGAUGACCGAGUGCCGAACGCACGGCACCUCCGCGUUCAACACACGUACGGUGCAGCGACGUCUCCUCCUUGAUCCAGCAAGGGGGAAGGAGAGGUUGAUGGAGAUCCAGCAGCACGACGGUGUGGUGGUGGAUGUAGCGGUUCUCCGGCAGGGCUUCGCCGAGCUUCUGCGAGAGAGAGAGGUGUUGCAGGGGAGGAGGGAGGCGCCCAAGGUUGUAGGUUGCUGCCCUCCCUCCCCCCCCCUUUAUAUAGGCCCCCUGGGGGGGCGCCGGCCCAGGGAGAUGGGAUCUCCAAGGGGGGGCGGCGGCCAAAGGGGGGAAGGGGUGCCUUGCCCCCCAAGGCAAGGGGGAAGCUCCCCCCCUAGGGUUCCCAACCCUAGGCGCAUGGGGGGAGGCCCAAGGGGGGCGCCCCAGCCCACUAAGGGCUGGUUCCCUUCCACUUUCAGCCCACGGGGCCCUUCGGGAUAGGUGGCCCCACCCGGUGGACCCCCGGGACCCUUCUGGUGGUCCCGGUACAAUACCGGUAACCCCCGAAACUUUCCCGGUGGCCGAAACUGGACUUCCUAUAUAUAAUUCUUCACCUCCGGACCAUUCCGGAACCUCUUGUGACGUCCGGGAUCUCAUCCGGGACUCCGAACAACUUUCGGGUUUCCGCAUACAUAUAUCUCUACAACCCUAGCGUCACCGAACCUUAAGUGUGUAGACCCUACGGGUUCGAGAGACAUGCAGACAUGACCGAGACGCCUCUCCGGUCAAUAACCAACAGCGGGAUCUGGAUACCCAUGGUGGCUCCCACAUGUUCCACGAUGAUCUCAUCGGAUGAACCACGGUGUCGAGGAUUCAAUCAAUCCGUAUGCAAUUCCCUUUGUCAAUCGCUAUGUUACUUGCCCGAGAUUCGAUCGUCGGUAUCCCAAUACCUUGUUCAAUCUCGUUACCGGCAAGUCUCUUUAAUCGUACCGCAAUGCAUGAUCCCGUGACUAACGCCUUAGUCACAUUGAGCUCAUUAUGAUGAUGCAUUACCGAGUGGGCCCAGAGAUACCUCUCCGUCACACGGAGUGACAAAUCCCAGUCUCGAUCCGUGCCAACCCAACAGACACUUUCGGAGAUACCCGUAGUGCACCUUUAUAGUCACCCAGUUACGUUGUGACGUUUGGCACACCCAAAGCACUCCUACGGUAUCCGGGAGUUGCACGAUCUCAUGGUCUAAGGAAAAGAUACUUGACAUUGGAAAAGCUCUAGCAAACGAAACUACACGAUCUUUUAUGCUAUGCUUAGGAUUGGGUCUUGUCCAUCACAUCAUUAUCCUAAUGAUGUGAUCCCGUUAUCAAUGACAUCCAAUGUCCAUAGUCAGGAAACCAUGACUAUCUGUUGAUCAACGAGCUAGUCAACUAGAGGCUUACUAGGGACACUUUGUGGUCUAUGUAUUCACACAUGUAUUACGAUUUCCGGACAAUACAAUUAUAGCAUGAAUAAUAGACAAUUACCAUGAACAAAGAAAUAUAAUAAUAACCAUUUAUUAUUGCCUCUAGGGCAUAUUUCCAACAGUCUCCCACUUGCACUAGAGUCAAUAAUCUAGUUACAUUGUGAUGAAUCGAACACCCAUUGCGUCCUGGUGUUGAUCAUGUUUUUCCCUAGGGAGAGGUUUAGUCAACGGAUCUGCUACAUUCAGGUCCGUAUGUACUUUACAAAUAUCUAUGUCUCCAUUUUGAACACUUUCACGAAUGGAGUUGAAGCGACGCUUGAUAUGCCUGGUCUUCCUGUGAAACCUGGGCUCCUUCGCAAGGGCAAUGGCUCCAGUGUUGUCACAGAAGAGAGUCAUCGGGCCCGACGCAUUGGGAAUCACCCCUAGGUCGGUAAUGAACUCCUUCAUCCAGACUGCUUCCUGUGCUGCCUCCGAGGCUGCCAUGUACUCCGCUUCACAUGUAGAUCCCGUCACGACGCUUUGCUUGCAACUGCACCAGCUUACUGCUCCUCCAUUCAAUAUAUACAUGUAUCCGGUCUGUGACUUCGAGUCAUCCAGAUCUGUGUCGAAGCUAGCGUCGACGUAACCCUUUACGAUGAGCUCUUCGUCACCUCCAUAAACGAGAAACAUAUCCUUAGUCCUCUUCAGGUACUUCAGGAUAUUCUUGACCGCUGUCCAGUGUUCCUUGCCGGGAUUACUUUGGUACCUUCCUACCAAACUUACGGCAAGGUUUACAUCAGGUCUGGUACACAGCAUGGCAUACAUAAUAGACCCUAUGGCCGAGGCAUAGGGGAUGACACUCAUCUCUUCUAUAUCUUCUGCCGUGGUCGGGCAUUGAGCCGUGCUCAAUUGCACACCUUGCAAUACAGGCAAGAACCCCUUCUUGGACUGAUCCAUACUGAACUUCUUCAAUAUCUUGUCAAGGUAUGUACUCUGUGAAAGACCAAUGAGGCGUCUUGAUCUAUCUCUAUAGAUCUUGAUGCCCAAUAUAUAAGCAGCUUCUCCAAGGUCCUUCAUUGAAAAACACUUAUUCAAAUAGGCCUUUAUACUUUCCAAGAAUUCUAUAUCAUUUCCCAUCAAUAGUAUGUCAUCCACAUAUAAUAUGAGAAAUGCUACAGAGGUCCCACUCACUUUCUUGUAAACACAGGCUUCUCCAUAAGUCUGUGUAAACCCAAACGCUUUGAUCAUCUCAUCAAAGCGAAUGUUCCAACUCCGAGAUGCUUGCACCAGCCCAUAGAUUGAGCGCUGGAGCUUGCAUACUUUGUUAGCAUUCUUAGGAUCGACAAAACCUUCCGGCUGCAUCAUAUACAACUCUUCCUUAAGGAAGCCGUUAAGGAAUGCCGUUUUGACGUCCAUCUGCCAUAUCUCAUAAUCAUAGUAUGCGGCAAUUGCUAACAUGAUUCGGACGGACUUCAGCUUCGCUACGGGUGAGAAAGUCUCAUCGUAGUCAACCCCUUGAACUUGUCGAUAACCCUUAGCGACAAGUCAAGCUUUGUAGAUGGUCACAUUACCAUCUGCGUCCGUCUUCUUCUUAAAGAUCCAUUUGUUUUCUAUGGCUCGCCGCUCAUCGGGCAAGUCAGUCAAAGUCCAUACUUUGUUUUCAUACAUGGAUUCUAUCUCGGAUUUCAUGGCUUCUAGCCAUUUGUCGGAAUCCGAGCCCGCCAUCGCUUCUUCAUAGUUCGAAGGUUCACCGUUGUCUAACAACAUGAUUUCCAGGACAGGGUUGCCGUACCACUCUGGUGCGGAACGUGUCCUUGUGGACCUACGAAGUUCAGUAACUUGAUCCGAAGCUUCAUGAUCAUCAUCAUUAACUUCCUCCCCAGUCGGUGUAGGCACCACAGGAACAUUUUCCCGCGCUGCGCUACUUUCCUGUUCGGAAGGGGUGACUAUCACCUCAUCAAGUUCCACUUUCCUCCCACUCAAUUCUUUCGAGAGAAACUCCUUCUCUAGAAAGGACCCGUUCUUGGCAACGAAGAUCUUGCCCUCGGAUCUGAGGUAGAAGGUAUACCCAAUAGUUUCCUUAGGGUAUCCUAUGAAGACGCAUUUUUCUGACUUGGGUUCGAGCUUUUCAGGUUGAAGUUUCUUGACAUAAGCAUCGCAUCCCCAAACUUUUAGAAAUGACAGCUUAGGUUUCUUCCCAAACCAUAAUUCAUACGGUGUCGUCUCAACAGAUUUCGACGGAGCCCUAUUUAAAGUGAAUGCGGCAGUCUCUAAAGCAUAGCCCCAAAAUGAGAGCGGUAAAUCGGUAAGAGACAUCAUAGAUCGCACCAUAUCCAAUGAGUGCGAUUACGACGUUCGGACACACCGUUUCUCUGAGGUGUUCCAGGCGGCGUGAGUUGUGAAACUAUUCCACAUUUUCUUAAGUGUGUACCAAAUUCGUGACUUAAAUAUUCUCCACCACGAUCUGAUCGUAAGAAUUUUAUUUUCCUGUCACGUUGAUUCUUGACUUCACUCUGAAAUUCCUUGAACUUUUCAAAGGUUUCAGACUUGUGUUUCAUUAGGUAGACAUACCCAUAUCUACUUAAAUCAUCAGUGAGAGUGAGAACAUAACGAUAUCCUCCGCGAGCCUCAACACUCAUUAGACCGCACACAUCGGUAUGUAUGAUUUCCAAUAAGUUGGUUGCUCGCUCCAUUGUUCCGGACAACGGAGUCUUGGUCAUCUUACCCAUGAGGCAUGGUUCGCACGUGUCAAAUGAUUCGUAAUCAAGAGACUCCAAAAGUCCAUCUGCAUGGAGCUUCUUCGUGCGCUUGACACCAAUGUGACCAAGGCGGCAGUGCCACAAGUAUGUGGGACUAUCGUUAUCAACUUUACAUCUUUUGGUAUUCACACUAUGAACAUGUGUAACAUCACGUUCGAGAUUCAUCAAAAAUAAACCAUUGACCAGCGGGGCAUGACCAUAAAACAUAUCUCUCAAAUAAAUAGAACAACCAUUAUUCUCGGAUUUAAAUGAGUAGCCAUCUCGAAUUAAACGAGAUCCAGAUACAAUGUUCAUGCUUAAAGCUGGCACUAAAUAACAAUUAUUGAGGUUUAAAACUAAUCCCGUGGGUAGAUGCAGAGGUAGCGUGCCGACGGCGAUCACAUCGACCUUGGAACCAUUCCCGACACGCAUCGUCACCUCGUCCUUCGCCAGUCUCCGUUUAUUCCGUAGUUCCUGUUUUGAGUUACAAAUAUGAGCAACCGCACCGGUAUCAAAUACCCAGGAGCUACUACGAGUACUGGUAAAGUACACAUCAAUUACAUAUAUAUCACAUAUACCUUUGGUGUUGCCGGCCUCCUUGUCCGCUAAGUAUUUGGGGCAGUUCCGCUUCCAGUGACCACUUCCCUUGCAAUAAAAGCACUCAGUUUCAGGCUUGGGUCCAUUCUUUGACUUCUUCCCAGUAACUGGCUUACCGGGCGCGGCAACUCCCUUGCCGUCCUUCUUGAAGUUCUUCUUACCCUUGCCCUUCUUGAACUUAGUGGUUUUAUUCACCAUCAACACUUGAUGUUCUUUUCUGAUCUCCCCUUCCGCUGAUUUCAGCAUUGAAUAUACCUCGGGAAUGGUCUUUUCCAUCCCCUGCAUAUUGUAGUUCAUCACAAAGCUCUUGUAGCUUGGUGGAAGCGACUGGAGGAUUCUGUCAAUGACCGCGUCAUCCGGGAGAUUAACUCCCAGCUGAGACAAGCGGUUGUGCAACCCAGACAUUCUGAGUAUGUGCUCACUAACAGAACUGUUCUCCUCCAUUUUACAGCUGAAGAACUUGUCGGAGACAUCAUAUCUCUCGACCCGGGCAUGAGCUUGAAAAACCAGUUUCAGCUCCUCGAACAUCUCAUAUGCUCCAUGUUUCUCAAAACGCUUUUGGAGACCCGGCUCUAAGCUGUAAAGCAUGCCGCACUGAACGAGGGAGUAAUCAUCAGCACGUGAUUGCCAAGCGUUCAUAACGUCUUGGUUCUGUGGGAUUGGUGCAUCACCUAGCGGUGCUUCUAAGACAUAAUCUUUCUUGGCUACUAUAAGGAUGAGCCUCAGGUUCCGGACCCAGUCCGUAUAGUUGCUGCCAUCAUCUUUCAGCUUGGUUUUCUCUAGGGACGCGUUGAAAUUGAGGACAACGUUGGCCAUUUGAUCUACAAGACAUAGUGUAAAGAUUUUAGACUAAGUUCAUGAUAAUUGAGUUCAUCUAAUCAAAUUACUCAAUGAACUCCCACGCAGAUAGACAUCCCUCCAGUCAUCUAAGUGAAACAUGAUCCGAAUUAACUAGGCCGUGUCCAAUCAUCACGUGAGACGGACUAGUCAAGAUCGGUGAACAUCUCCAUGUUGAUCGUAUCUUCUAUACGACUCAUGCUCGACCUUUCGGUCCUCCGUGUUCCGAGGCCAUGUCUGUACAUGCUAGGCUCGUCAAGUCAACCUAAGUGUAUUGCGUGUGUUCCGAGGCCAUGUCUGUACAUGCUAGGCUCGUCAACACCCGUUGUAUUCGAACGUUAGAAUCUAUCACACCCGAUCAUCACGUGGUGCUUCGAAACAACGAACCUUCGCAACGGCGCACAGUUAGGGUGAACACUUUCUUGAAAUUAUUAUAAGGGAUCAUCUUACUUACUACCGUCGUUCUAAGUAAAUAAGAUGCAAAAACAUGAUAAACAUCACAUGCAAUCAAAUAGUGACAUGAUAUGGCCAAUAUCAUGAUGCUCCUUUGAUCUCCAUCUUCGGGGCACCAUGAUCAUCUUCGUCACCGGCAUGACACCAUGAUCUCCAUCAUUGUGUCUUCAUGAAGUCGUCACGCCAACGAUUACUUCUACUUCUAUGGCUAACCGUUUAGCAACAAAGUAAAGUAAUUUACAUGGCGUUAUUCAAUGACACGCAGGUCAUGCAAAAUAAUAAAGACAACUCCUAUGGCUCCCGCCGGUUGUCAUACUCAUCGACAUGCAAGUCGUGAUUCCUAUUACAAGAAUAUGAUCAAUCUCAUACAUCACAUAUAUCAUUCAUCACAUCUUCUGGCCAUAUCACAUCACAUAGCACUUGCUGCAAAAACAAGUUAGACGUCCUCUAAUUGUUGUUGCAAGUUUUUACGUGGUUUGUAGGUUUCUAGCAAGAACGUUUUCUUACCUACGUAUGACCACAACGUGAUUUGCCAAUUUCUAUUUACCCUUCAUAAGGACCCUUUUCAUCGAAUCCGUUCCGACUAAAGUAGGAGAGACAGACACCCGCUAGCCACCUUAUGCAACUAGUGCAUGUUAGUCGGUGGAACCUGUCUCACGUAAGCGUACGUGUAAGGUCGGUCCGGGCCGCUUCAUCCUACAAUGCCGCCGAAACAAGAAACGACUAGUAGCGGCAAGAAGAAUUGGCAACAUCAACGCCCACAACUUCUUUGUGUUCUACUCGUGCAUAGUAACUACGCAUAGGCCUGGCUCAUGAUGCCACUGUUGGGAAUCGUAGCAUAAUUUUAAAAUUUUCCUACGUUCACCAAGAUGCAUCUAUGGAGUAUACUAGCAACGAGGGGAAGGGAGUGCAUCUACAUACCCUUGUAGAUCGCGAGCGGAAGCGUUCCAAUGAACGUGGAUGACGGAGUCGUACUCGCCGUGAUCCAAAUCACCGAUGACCGAGUGCCGAACGGACGGCACCUCCGCGUUCAACACACGUACGGUGCAGCGACGUCUCCUCCUUCUUGAUCCAGCAAGGGGGAAGGAGAGGUUGAUGGAGAUCCAGCAGCACGACGGCGUGGUGGUGGAUGUAGCGGUUCUCCGGCAGGGCUUCGCCGAGCUUCUGCGAGAGAGAGAGAGAGGUGUUGCAGGGGAGGAGGGAGGCGCCCAAUGUUGUAGGUUGCUGCCCUCCCUCCCCCCUUUAUAUAGGCCCCCUGGGGGGGCGCCGGCCCAGGGAGAUGGGAUCUCCAAGGGGGGGCGGCGGCCAAAGGGGGGAAGGGGUGCCUUGCCCCCCAAGGCAAGGGGGAAGCUCCCCCCCUAGGGUUCCCAACCCUAGGCGCAUGGGGGGAGGCCCAAGGGGGGAGCCCCAGCCCACUAAGGGCUGGUUCCCUUCCACUUCAGCCCACGGGGCCCUCCGGGAUAGGUGGCCCCACCCGGUGGACCCCCGGGACCCUUCCGGUGGUCCCGGUACAAUACCGGUAACCCCCGAAACUUUCCCGGUGGCCGAAACUGGACUUCCUAUAUAUAAUUCUUCACCUCCGGACCAUUCCGGAACCUCUUGUGACGUCCGGGAUCUCAUCCGGGACUCCGAACAACUUUCGGGUUUCCGCAUACAUAUAUCUCUACAACUCUAGCGUCACCGAACCUUAAGUGUGUAGACCCUACGGGUUCGGGAGACAUGCAGACAUGACCGAGACGCAUCUCCGGUCAAUAACCAACAGCGGGAUCUGGAUACCCAUGUUGGCUCCCACAUGUUCCACGAUGAUCUCAUCGGAUGAACCACGGUGUCGAGGAUUCAAUCAAUCCGUAUGCAAUUCCCUUCGUCAAUCGGUAUGUUACUUGCCCGAGAUUCGAUCGUCGGUAUCCCAAUACCUUGUUCAAUCUCGUUACCGGCAAGUCUCUUUAAUCGUACCGCAAUGCAUGAUCCCGUGACUAACGCCUUAGUCACAUUGAGCUCAUUAUGAUGAUGCAUUACCGAGUGGGCCCAGAGAUACCUCUCCGUCACACGGAGUGACAAAUCCCAGUCUCGAUCCGUGCCAACCCAACAGACACUUUCGGAGAUACCCGUAGUGCACCUUUAUAGUCACCCAGUUACGUUGUGACGUUUGGCACACCCAAAGCACUCCUACGGUAUCCGGGAGUUGCACGAUCUCAUGGUCUAAGGAAAAUAUACUUGACAUUGGAAAAGCUCUAGCAAACGAAACUACACGAUCUUUUAUGCUAUGCUUAGGAUUGGGUCUUGUCCAUCACAUCAUUCUCCUAAUGAUGUGAUCCCGUUAUCAAUGACAUCCAAUGUCCAUAGUCAGGAAACCAUGACUAUCUGUUGAUCAACGAGCUAGUCAAUUAGAGGCUUAUUAGGGACACGUUGUGGUCUAUGUAUUCACACAUGUAUUACGAUUUCCGGACAAUACAAUUAUAGCAUGAAUAAUAGACUAUUAUCAUGAACAAAGAAAUAUAAUAAUAACCAUUUAUUAUUGCCUCUAGGGCAUAUUUCCAACACCUCCUCCACGUGAGCCCUAGCCGUCCGCGGCGCCGCCGGCACUGGAAUCCUAUCUGGAUCCAGAUGUCAGUCGUGCGGCAGGGUCACGUCGGGGUACGGCAGAGGCUGGUGGUGCCGCCAGUGCCACUCCGCCUGAUGCACUGGCACGUUCACGCGCUGCCUCUGCCGGCGAGGCGCCAGCGGAGGCGGGAGGAACUCUGAGGGGGAAGGGGUGGCGGGGGCCUUGCCCUUGGCCUUGCUGCUGCCGGCGCCGGAGAAGAGCCCCAUCUCGCUGUGGUUGUGGUGGCUAGGGUUUGCCGACGAUGGGGGAGCAAAGCUUGCUAGAUGUGGACGGCGAGUUUGGAUGAGGACGGCCCCGCCGCACGGUCGGCUUAAAAAAGAACGAGCGCCGUCGCUGACGCGUGGGCCCGUGGUCAUAAAUUAAGCUGACCACGUGGGUUGCGGGUAGUUGGACGGCCGCCAGGUGGGGACGCCGCGGACAGCGAGAAGGCGCGCAUGGCGUCCGUUCGGCGUCCGCGCCGACGCAUUUGUGGGGCAAAUUUGGGCCGCAAAUGCGUCGGCGCGGACUCGAUGCGGACAUGAUUUGGGUUUGGGUCGGCGCAUUGGGCCGCCACUUUUAUCCGCGCGACCCAAACGGACGGCGGCGGACGAAAUGGGUCGGCCCUUUGGAGUUGCUCUAACAGAGCCGGACAUCAACUGUGGACAAGAAACCUAGCGCCCAAUCACAGGUACUUCCUAUGUAUUUACCUGAUUUUGCCCCCGAAAAUGGCGUGAAAAUGUCUCACCGUUUCUUCGAAGUGAAAGUGUGUGUUGUGUAUUUAUACACCCCCCUCUGUCAAGUGUUGGCGCCGUGAAGUGUUCAUUGGCUACGCCACCACCAAUCCUUCUCCUCGACAGAGCAUUCUGUGUGUGUAGUGCCAUUUCUUGGCUGGCUCUGUCCAUGGAGAAGGAGCGCGGCGCAGAAGAAAGGGAGAUGAAGCAGAGCAAGCCGCCGCCGAGGCGUGGCCGAGUCAUGAGGAGCAUCGUCAAACUCCUCUGCUUUUGCGGUGCUCCCGCGGAAGGUUAGAAUAGAAGGCCUUGGAGCUUCUUAAGCUGGCGCGUAUAAUAUACAAUCGUUGUCUGUGUGUGUGAGUGUAUGUGGGCUUCCUUUUCUUUCUAAACGUAUGUGUGCAUUAGUUAAUGUUCUCGAGGACUGUGGAUUACGUAGUAACUGUUACUACUACUGUGUAUGAUGGGUUGUCAUUGCGUUUGAAGUUUGUGUACUUCGUGUCACGCAUGUAAACCGAACGACAUUGGUAAUGUAUAUUUUUCGUAACAUAUAGUUGUGCUUAUGUUGCUGUUCACUCUGUUCAGCGAUCAAUUGAUCUUAGUUGGCCAGUUGCAGCGGCAAUGAUCAAGAGCAAGAGCAUGGUACCAAUAGAUCACCGGUGGCGGCUUUGGUCGGUGAAAUCAAACGUUUACUCCAAGGAGACAAAGAGUUUAAGAUUGUGCGCUAUUUCUCGUGACCAAAACAUUGUUAGUCAUAGACUUGCCCAGUUGGGGGUGCUCUUCUCCGCAUGUAGUUGUCUGGUUGCGCCCAGGUCCUGAUAAGAUGUAAGCCCCUGCCCUCUGUGGCCAAACCAUUCAUUGAUAUAAUUUGUUUUACCUAUACAAAUCAUGCCAGGAAAUCUGUUGAUCAUGCAUGUAUCUUGAUGGCUUUUCAUUAUCUACAUGUAAGUUAUUGAUUAUCCAGUUGUUCAAAGAGUUAGCUUUACUCUACUUUAAUCUGUAUGUCACUAUUGUGAGGGCUUCAUGAAAAUUAUACCUUUUGAUUUGAACAUAAGUUGGUGUGUUUCUAUAUAUCUUGUCUGCUUUUUAUAUCCAAUAUUCUAGCAUCCCGUUAUGAUGAUAUCCAUAGUGUCCUUAAGUAGCAACUUAAUAAAACUUCAUCAGAAAAGGAAAUACCUCUUCUUUAAGUGCUACCACUGAGUGCCAGCAUUGAAUAGCAAAUGAAUCCCAUGGUAGACGAAGCAAUGUUUCUUCAGCUUCGUCUGAACAUAAGGAGCAUUUUGUAAGUGCUCAUGUGGAAGGUUAUCUAGCUCCUUGUAGUUCUCCUUUAAGGAUUGCUUGAUUCCCAAAAUUGUAAAAAAAAAUAGAACAAACAAAAAAAUUAAUGGCACUUCAACUAGAUUUGUACAUGAUUAAAAAUAUUUUUUAAAUCUAAUAAGAGGUUUCAAUGGAUAAAAAAACAUAAGAAAAACAUGCAAACAAAUACUAAAUGGCUUAAUCCUACAGACCAACAACACACUUGGAAAGAACAUUCUUAAGAAUUUCACCUCCAAAGAGUCCCUCUCUAAAAUAUCAACUUUAAUAUAAGCCUCUCUUUCAAAACCUUAGUGCCCCCUCCUCCCAACGACACCUGGGGCACGCUAGCACCGCCACAUCCACACUCCUUCGCGUAGCUCACUUGAUGUCGUUGUAACAACCACUAGCUCGGUGUUGGCGGCCCUAACAUCAAAGCUUAUCGGGGCUUCAUUUACAGUGUCGGAUUGUUGUCGGACCAUUUAUAGUGGGAGUUACGAUGACAGAAACUUGUUGCGACGGUGGUAGUGAGGUGAGGUAGGUGAUGAGCGAGGUGUCACUGGUAGAAAAUGGGCCUUUAGUCCCGGUUCGCAAAGGCCUUUAGUCCCGGCUGUGCAACCGGGACUAAAUAUGCGCGACUAAAGACCCCCCCCCCCCUUUAGUCGCGCCUCUUACGAACCGCGACUAAAGGCUUUAGUCCCGGUUCUCGUGGCUAACCGGGACUAAAGGCCCGUCCACGUGGGCGCCAGGGGUCCGUCGGGGCGGAGGACCUUUAGUCCCGGUUCUCGUGGCUAACCGGGACUAAAGGCCUCCUCCGUAGGUUUUAGCCCCCCUAAACCUGGCUUUUUUGCGAAUUUUUUUCUAUUUUUUUUAUUUUCAAAUUUCUGAAUUAUUUUAACCUCUAAUCUCUAAUCACCACCCCUCAUCACUGCUCAAUUUAUCCUCUAAUCUCUAAUCACCCCUCAUCAUUCCAAAUCAUCUAACUUCCCGGACGGUCACCCAUCCUCUCACUACUCCAGCCUGAGCACGCUUAACUUCCGGGUUCUAUUCUCCCUCGUUUCCAAGUCUGCACUUGUUGUUUUCCUGACAAUAGUAGGAUGUCAAUUCUAUUAACCCUCAGGAAUUUAGCUUGAGCAUGAAGUGACACAUUUCACUGUUUGAGUUUGAAACUAUUGUUUUAAAAAACAAUAAUUAUUUAGUAACACUAAUAUUUCUGAAAUAAUUAGUUUGACCAUUGUUUGACCACUGUUUGACCACAGUUUGACCAGAUUUGACCAAAAUUUUAAAAAAAACUGAAAUAAUUAUUUAGUAACACUAAUAUUCUAGAAUAAUUAGUUUGACCAUUGUUUGACCACAGUUUGACCACAAUUUGAAAUUUUUUGAAUUUUUUUGCCUCUCCAGAUCUUAAAAGCCCCGUAUCUUUUUUCUGUUAGGUUUUUGAGGAUUUUAAAAAUGUUUAACGAGGUUCCCCCAGUUAAAUUCGGAUGUAACUUUUCGAGUAGAUGAUUUUUCAUAUAAAAAACUUUUUCAUCCGAGUUUGUAUGCAAAAGUUAUGCCCAUUUUAAGAAAUUCCAGAGAGAUUUUGCAAAUAAAGUCGAAAUUCAUAUUUGUUAAUUUUCCCAACAACUAGACCACAUGUCACAUGAGAAACUUAUUUUAUUUUAUUUUUUUGACAUUUCCAUCAUUUUNNNNNNNNNNNNNNNNNNNNNNNNNNNNNNNNNNNNNNNNNNNNNNNNNNNNNNNNNNNNNNNNNNNNNNNNNNNNNNNNNNNNNNNNNNNNNNNNNNNNNNNNNNNNNNNNNNNNNNNNNNNNNNNNNNNNNNNNNNNNNNNNNNNNNNNNNNNNNNNNNNNNNNNNNNNNNNNNNNNNNNNNNNNNNNNNNNNNNNNNNNNNNNNNNNNNNNNNNNNNNNNNNNNNNNNNNNNNNNNNNNNNNNNNNNNNNNNNNNNNNNNNNNNNNNNNNNNNNNNNNNNNNNGGUUGGUCUGGCCAACCGCGACUAAAGGACUAACCUUUAGUCCCGGUUGGUCUGGCCAACCGCGACUAAAGGACUAACCUUUAGUCUCGGUUGGUCUGGCCAACCGCGACUAAAGGCCUUCGGGCCAGCCUGAGGACCUUUAGUCCCGGUUGGCCAGGCCAACCGCGACUAAAGCCCCUCCCGUCCGCCAGCUGUCGACCGAGCGCGCUGGGCCCAGAUAGUUGGUCGCGGGUCUCCUCCCGAACCGCGACUAAAGACCCCUUUGGUCGCGGUUCGAUUAUUUUGGGGACUAAUGGGGGCGUAUGGAAGCCUCUUUUUCUAUUAGUGUGUCUAUCUUGGAUUUGGCACGUGAUGUCUGGGUUUGUUGUUGACCAAACGUUGGAAGUCUGAUGUAGUGCGAUGGAUGUCGGGGUGGUGGCCUCAGGUUGAGUCUCAGAGACUAUCGGAUGUCACGGGUGGCAUGAAAUUUGGAGGCACGCCUUUACCUUCACCAAUUUAGGGUUAACCAGGAUUGUUCUUCUCUUAGUAGUUUUGGUCUCUCCGUAGUAGCGGCGGUGGCAGUGUCUGUGGAGUGGUGGUGUUGCUGCUUCGGACUUUUGUACAAUUUUCUUUCUGUUUAUGCUUUCAUUGAGUCAUCUCAUGUGAUACUUUCGGGAGCUUGUUGAUGUAUUUUUGCCUCCCAGCGGAUAUAUCACUUUUGGAUCGUCUAGUGGGUUGGCACUAUAUAGAAGAGACGCUGAUGGCUAGGGUUGGAGCUUCUAUGUCUGUUGAGUCUUACUACUCUACUAGUGUGUUUCGUAGAGCAUGAGUUUUGGGUGUAUGUUCGUGGCCUCUGCAUGCAUAUCUAACUUGGCUUUCACUUUAUUUACCCGAUGACUUUAUUUCCACCAAUUGCCUCCUUUGGUUUAGAGGAAUCUUGUAGGAAUUUCACAUGAUAUGAUUUCUAUAGGAAAAAUUCCUUUAGAGCCCUUUGGUUUGUAGGAAUGGAAUCCUAUUCCUAUGGGGGAAUUCUUCCUAUCCUCUACGUUUCAUAGGAAAAUAAACAUUAGCCCAAAGUCAAUGAAAAAAAUCUUAUGAUGUGAAUCAAAGGACAUCUCUUUUCCUAUUCCUAUUCAUAGGAUUUGAGAUACAUGUCAUCUCAUUUUCUAUGACUUUCCUAUUCCUACGAUUUUCCUAUCCUAUGAACCAAAGGAGGCCUGAAAAGGUAGAUCUCCUCUCCAUUGUCGAAAGAAAAUAUCAUAAAGAUUUCCAUUUUUCAUUCUUUUGGUUAGGACAUCUGAAUUCCAUCUUCUUAGUGUGACCUCUGAAUUUCAUAAGAAGGAUUCGAGCCAACAAAUCCUAGUUGGCGUCAACUAGCAUGCGAGCGACUUGGGCAGGGCCAGUCUACCUUUUGAUGUUGUAGGAUUUUUUUUCUUUGUUUUUUCUAUUGUGCAUUUGUUAACUUUUUAUUCAUAUUUCUUUUUUCUUCUGAUUAGGUUUUUCUCUUGGUUUUUUGUUUAGGGUUUUUUUAUGUGGUUCCCUCUUUUAUAAAAUGUUUGGAAAUUCCAUUGUUUUCUUAAUUUUUAAUAAAAAAUUGUUUCAAACAAUAUGCCGAAAAUUAAUAUAAUUUUGAUGCUCUCAAAUUUUCAGAAUUAAAAAACAUUUCAUAAAUUGUUAAAAAAUACAAAAAAUGUCCCUGCUUUCAAGAUUUGGUCACAAAUUAAAAGAUGUUUUCUUUUUUUUUUAAUAUCCAAAAAACAUAAAAUAUUCAUGUUUCAAAAAAUGUUAGGAUUUUUUUUAUUUGUUAAUACUCGAUGAACAAUUCUUUAAGAAUGAUGAGUAUUUUCUAAUAAAAGUUAAAGGUUUUUGUGAUAUAUAUUGAAGAUUGUUUUUUAAACACCCAGAACAUUUUUACUCCCUCCGUU